rnacentral:rRNA from 1 species
UACAGAGGGGGCAAGCGUUUAUUCGGAAUUAUUGGGCGUAAAGGGCGCGUAGGCGGCUUGUUAAGUCGGCUGUGAAAGCCCGGGGCUCAACCCCGGAGGGUCAGCCGAUACUGGCAGGCUAGAGUACGGAAGAGGUAGCUGGAAUUCCCGGUGUAGCGGUGAAAUGCGUAGAUAUCAAGUGGAACACCAGUGGCGAAGGCGAAUCCCUGGAAAAUACCUGACACUGAGGCACGAAAGCUAGGGGAGCAAACAGG